GUUGUAUAGCAUGACAUUUGAGCCACCUUUGAGCACCUAAUUUUGUUUCAUAGGUGAGCAAUGUCGAUGGCCUAGAUUUAGCUGCCCAAUUGCAUGACCAAUAAGGAUCAAUCAUGUAGAGAAAAGGACAUAUAUGCCAACUUUGAGCACCUAAUUUUGUUUCAUAUGCGAGCAAUGCCGAUUGCCUUGAUCUAGCUGCCCAAUGGCAUGACCAGCUAGUUUCAAGCAUCUACAGAAACAGUAAGUUAUUGCCUUUAUCAACAAGAGAGGAAGAGGAAGAGGAAGAGGAAGAAGAAGAAGAAGAACCGGACGACUGCUGAGUAUAAGAGGUCUAGGUUAUCGAGGAACUGGACGACUGCUAACCGGGCUUAUGGUGGAGUUCUUUCUGGUGGUGCUGUAAGGAAAAGCAACGGUGGAGGAGGAUUAGGCCUUGGAUGGCCUAAAGGCAGUGCAUCCAAGAUGCUCGAUCAACAUCAAUGUAUAUCAUUUCUGCAAGGAUUUCAAGUAUGACCCCAAUACAUUAAGAGAGGAGAUAGAGAAACAGAAAGCUCAUGAGCGAUAUAUGAAAUUGCAAGAACAGGGGAAAACAGAACAAGCUAAGAAAAAUUUAGGUAACUCUUUACUCUGUGGGCCUCCUCUUUCAACCAAGUGUUCCUAGGAUGAAACUAAUUCUAAAGUAACACCAAAUGGUGGUAACCAAAAGGGAAGAGGAGUUGAGUCAUUCUCGUUCUGGAUUAGCAUGGUAGCUGGGUUUAUUGUUGCAUUUUGGGGAGUUUGUGGUACAUUGAUUAUCAAAACAUCAUGGAGACAAGCUUACUUUCGCAGCUUUGAUAAUUUGAAAGACAAGAUUGCUAUUUUUGUUAUGGUCAAAAUUGUUUGCUUACUAAGGAAGGUCAAGUCAGAGAGAAAUUGAAGCUGCGGGCUUAGGAGCUUUUCUUAAUAUGUAUAAUUUAUGUAUUGUAAGUUGUUCAGGUUGUUGUAAUAAUGUGUGAUCCAAAAUGCUUCAAUCUUCACUAGUCAAGGUCAUAUAUAUGAAUAA